UGUCAAUAUUGCAGUGUAAACACAUUUUCCUCUGAAUAGAGUAGUUAUAACAAUAGGCAGAGUAAACUCCUCCAAAUGGUAGUGUCAAAAGUGAGAGUAAAAAAGUGAGUGUCAACAUUUCAGUGUAAAUCUAUUUUUCUCUUGAUAGAGAGGUUAUAACAAAAGGCAGAGUAACUCCUCAGACAAAAUAACUCUGCAGGGUGAUGAUUCCCCGCGAAAAUUCUAGAACCGGAGCUGGAGCUGGCAUGGCAUGUUGGAAGUAGUUUCUCUCCCUGCGUGAAAAUGCUGUUGCGUGUCUCAUUUGGUGGAGUGCAGAAGUACAUAAAGAUGCUUGAACUGACGUUUGAUGAUUUCUUGAGAGAAGGUUAGUCGCCUAAUUUGAAUUGAAAGUAGGCCUAUCUUAAUGUAGCUUAAUGUAACUUAAAGUGGUGACAUACUGCAAUUAUUUCUCAUCAGAUCAUUUUGUGCACUAUUUAUUUUGUACUCCAGUGAGUUUGAAGUUCAACAUCCCCGAAGACAGAUGGUUGGACCUCAAAGUUUAUGACCAGUCUAACACAGAGGUAGACGCCGAAGUUUUUGAGGAGCUCGUAAAAGAGUUCCAUGGACCUUUCCUAGUUUCAUUGGCCAAUGAAGCACCUGGUAACCCUCAGUUCACAUCAUCUCCAGGGUCUACUGCAUCUGACGACACAGUGAUCCUCAACUUCUCCCUGCUUGAGCCAGCUGAGGAACCCCUUGAGCCAGCUGAGGAACCCGUUGCAGCCCAAGGCAGUCAACCUAAAAGGCCUUGCCGCAUCAACUAUGAAGCAAAAACUCUGAUUGAAAAAAUCCUGACUACAAAGCCUGGAGGUGACCGUAUCAUCGAGGAGUAUGCAAAAACAAAAUCAAUCACAGAUUCAACCAGAAGACGGCUCAUCAACAUACUUGCUGCAGAAAUGACGGAAACACAUGGGACCUCGCCGCCGCGGAGUGUGAAAGUGAUGUAUGCACAGGGGAUUAUCGCUCUGUUUCCAUAUCUUGAAGACCCAUACUCACAGAAUGGCUAUGAACACUACUACGAUCCGGAAAGUGGUUCAGGAUACAUUGCAUGGCGGUUGAAGACCAUUCAACGAAAGGCUUCUGAGGAAAGAGUUCCAGCAGUUAAAUCUCCUAAAGUUGGUGGGCCAGGCCAUGGACGUACUACACCCUUUACUGCCGAAGUCCUGACUGAUGAGGAAGUGGAAUCCGCUAUCGCUGUGUUGAGACAUUCUGCUGAUGAGGAAACCAUCCGUGAAAAAAUGAAAACCACCUUCAGUUACCGUCAAGCAAUGGUCAAUGACCAUGACAAAUCUGCAGAGGUCUUCUCAGUUUUUCCACGGUUCCUGGACACACCAGGACUGGUAGAGCAGGAUUUCAGACUGAUGUUUGGCGAGCAGACUGCCAAUAAAUUCCUGGAGAGAUGGCCUACCACUUUCAGGGCAAGAGUCAUU